rnacentral:rRNA from 1 species
UAGCAUAUCAAUAAGCGGAGGAAAAGAAACCAACAGGGAUUGCCCUAGUAACGGCGAGUGAAGCGGCAACAGCUCAAAUUUGAAAUCUGGCGCAAGCCCGAGUUGUAAUUUGUAGAGGAUGCUUCUAGGUAGCGACCGGUCUAAGUUCCUUGGAACAGGACGUCAUAGAGGGUGAGAAUCCCGUAUGUGACCGGCCCGCACCUUCUACGUAGCUCCUUCGACGAGUCGAGUUGUUUGGGAAUGCAGCUCUAAAUGGGAGGUAAAUUUCUUCUAAAGCUAAAUACCGGCCAGAGACCGAUAGCGCACAAGUAGAGUGAUCGAAAGAUGAAAAGCACUUUGGAAAGAGAGUUAAAAAGCACGUGAAAUUGUUGAAAGGGAAGCGCUCACAACCAGACUUCUGGGCGGUGUUCCGCCGGUCUUUUGACCGGUCUACUCGCCGUCCCGAGGCCAACAUCAUCUGGGACCGCUGGAUAAGACCUCAGGAAUGUAGCUCCCCUCGGGGAGUGUUAUAGCCUGUGGUGAUGCAGCGCGUCUCGGGUGAGGUCCGCGCUUCGGCAAGGAUGUUGGCGUAAUGGUUGUCAGCGGCCCGUCUUGAAACACGGACCAAGGAGUCUAACAUCUAUGCGAGUGUUCGGGUGUCAAACCCCUACGCGUAAUGAAAGUGAACGGAGGUGGGAAGCGUAAGCUGCACCAUCGACCGAUCCUGAUGUCCUCGGAUGGAUUUGAGUAAGAGCAUAGCUGUUGGGACCCGAAAGAUGGUGAACUAUGCCUGAAUAGGGUGAAGCCAGAGGAAACUCUGGUGGAGGCUCGCAGCGGUUCUGACGUGCAAAUCGAUCGUCAAAUUUGGGUAUAGGGGCGAAAGACUAAUCGAACCAUCUAGUAGCUGGUUCCUGCGA